GGCAGCAGGGGAACUGAGGAGCUCCAUUCAAGAGACAUGGCCCCUGCCUGUGUCACUUUGCGCUGUGUGAGCUCAUCUUCAGCACCACGCAUGUCUCUGUGUCUGGAUCUUUCUCUCUUACACAUACACUCUCCUGGGGGUCAGAGGAGUGGCUCACACACAGGAUCCCAUUUCUCUCAAGCGGUGACUUUCAUGACAGAUCAAAAGGACUGCUGGCUUGUUGUGAGAUUAAAAGAGAAAAUGCCUAUAAAGAGUGAAGCACAAUAACAAAAAUUUUUAAAAAAAAACAUCUAUAAAGAAUCAAUUUGGCACAAAUAAGCGUGUACCUUAUGAACUCCACCUUCAAGUUGGGCCCCAACCUUCUGGUAAUAACAAGCUCCUUUUCAGUGCCAAGUCUCAUGGUUGCUUCCCUCAAAGAGAAAUGGUGGGUGCUUACAAUCACCUGUGGGGGAGCACUGCUGCUCCCUUCUUGCUGCAAAUCCUCACCCUGCAUGAAGAGGGUCAGACUGGAGCUGGCUUGGGGGUCACUUGGGUGAUUAUUCUAAUUUACUCUGAAGUUUCCAUGAUAUUGGACUCCACUGGUUCUUUUCAAACCCCUCUGAUUUUCUCUGUUUCCUCACAGAUAUUUUUCUUUCAUUUUGUUGUGAAAUAUUAGGAUUCCCCAGGGUUCCAGAGUUGGCCCAUUGUUCUUCCUAGUCACCUAGUCUCCUAAAUGAUUUCAUUCCCUCUCAGCGUCUUGAUGAUUAUGCUCUAGGGACUCCCAGAGCUGGGCAAAUGAGAGCCAUGUGAAGCCUUCUUGGAUGGCUGUACCCAAUAGCCCUUGGACAUUUCAAAUUCCACUUACGAAAGACUAAACAUGGGAUGUGUUGCUCUCUCACAACUGUUCUGCCUCCUGCGUUCUUUCUCCCUCUAGAAAAAACAAUUACCCAAUGCAGAAACUUCUGAGAAAAUUCUAGUGAUAAUUCUUCAAUUGGAUUUGUACCAGUGAAUUUGGAUUUUGACUAGGAGGGGUAACUACAGAAUCUCGAGAUCACACUAGUCUUAUUUAAAUUAAUAAAUUAUUGUACUUAAGAGUUACCAAAGGUACAGUGAUGAAUGAAUCCAUGAGUAGCUCUCCCUAAGUACGGUAUAACCACUAUCAUCACCACCACCAUGUUUGGCUCUAUCAUGCCUGUUUUUUCUUCCAACCAAAGCUCUCAGCAGACUGGCAGUCAUAUUAUACAUUGAAAAUUCCUGAAUUGAGUAAUCUUGUUAAUAUACAGCUACACAAAAGUGCCAGCACCACAGAGUGCUUGUGCUUUUCUACGAAUACAAAAAUCAAACAACUGACUAUGUAGGUACAUAAUUAUAUUUUUAUUCUCCAGCGCUAAGAAAUAGGAAAAGAGGGAAAGGCUUGUGAGGUGGGGGAGGGGGGAAGUUUUCUCAAAAUAAAAAGGAAGGGAAGGGAUGGAUUAGGGGGAAAAGGUGAAAAAGUAUUAAUUCAUUUUCCACUUACACUAAUGAAAUCUAAUCACAGCUGACAACUAACUAUUGUGCUGUGGGUUUAUAAAGUCAGCUUCAAGGCUGCAUUCCUGAUUAAAUCAAGUACAAGCAGUCCUAAAGUCACUAAUGAUAAAGCAAGCCCCAAUAGUGUGUUAAAAUAUAAAAGGAUCCUCUUUCACAAAUCAAUGGAUUUCUAUUUAGUCAGAGCCUCCCACUCUGAAAAUACGUCAGUAAUCAUUCUUCUGUCCUUCUUGAUCUUUUGCUACUUUCUCCAAGGCCUGCAGUCAACUGUGGAGGGGGAACAAUGAAGUCUUUCAUGUGGAAGAAAAAAAGAGAGAGCUCCCUGUGUGCAAUGCUCUCUCUCCUUUUCUGUGUCACUGUGAACAUACUAAAAGAAACAAAAGGGAAGGAUCAACCCCCUUUCCAGUGGUCAAAAGGUAUUUUGGAAAUAAAGGAAG